UACGGCGACAUCACGUUGAAACACCGAGUCCCGUACUAUCACUGAAGUUAAGCAGAGCCGAGCCUGGUCAGUACCUAGAAGGGUUACCGAUUGGGAAUACCAGGUGCUGUA